rnacentral:rRNA from 1 species
GACGAACGCUGGCGGCGUGCCUAAUACAUGCAAGUUGAGCGCUGAAGGUUGGUACUUGUACCAACUGGAUGAGCAGCGAACGGGUGAGUAACGCGUGGGGAAUCUGCCUUUGAGCGGGGGACAACAUUUGGAAACGAAUGCUAAUACCGCAUAAAAACUUUAAACACAAGUUUUAAGUUUGAAAGAUGCAAUUGCAUCACUCAAAGAUGAUCCCGCGUUGUAUUAGCUAGUUGGUGAGGUAAAGGCUCACCAAGGCGAUGAUACAUAGCCGACCUGAGAGGGUGAUCGGCCACAUUGGGACUGAGACACGGCCCAAACUCCUACGGGAGGCAGCAGUAGGGAAUCUUCGGCAAUGGACGAAAGUCUGACCGAGCAACGCCGCGUGAGUGAAGAAGGUUUUCGGAUCGUAAAACUCUGCUGGUAGAGAAGAACGUUGGUGAGAGUGGAAAGCUCAUCAAGUGACGGUAACUACCCAGAAAGGGACGGCUAACUACGU